GACGAACGCUGGCGGCGUGCUUAACACAUGCAAGUCGAACGGAAAGGCCUCUUUCGGGGGGUACUCGAGUGGCGAACGGGUGAGUAACACGUGAGUAACCUGCCCUUGACUUUGGGAUAACUUCAGGAAACUGGGGCUAAUACCGGAUAGGAGCUCCUGCUGCAUGGUGGGGGUUGGAAAGUUUCGGCGGUUGGGGAUGGACUCGCGGCUUAUCAGCUUGUUGGUGGGGUAGUGGCUUACCAAGGCUUUGACGGGUAGCCGGCCUGAGAGGGUGACCGGCCACAGUGGGACUGAGAGACGGCCCAGACUCCUACGGGAGGCAGCAGGGGGGAAUAUUGCACAAUGGGUGGAAGCCUGAUGCAGCAACGCCGGGGGCGGGAUGACGGCCUUCGGGUUGGAAACCGCUUUCGCUCAUGACGAAGCUUUGUGUGACGGUAGUGGGUAAAGAAGCACCGGCUAACUACGUG
rnacentral:rRNA from 1 species